AGUGAACGCCGGCGGUAGGCCUAACACAUGCAAGUCGAACGGCAGCACAGUAAGAGCUUGCUCUUACGGGUGGCGAGUGGCGGACGGGUGAGGAAUACAUCGGAAUCUACUUUUUCGUGGGGGAUAACGUAGGGAAACUGACGCUAAUACCGCAUACGACCUACGGGUGAAAGCAGGGGAUCUUCGGACCUUGCGCGAUUGAAUGAGCCGAUGUCGGAUUAGCUAGUUGGCGGGGUAAAGGCCCACCAAGGCGACGAUCCGUAGCUGGUCUGAGAGGAUGAUCAGCCACACUGGAACUGAGACACGGUCCAGACUCCUACGGGAGGCAGCAGUGGGGAAUAUUGGACAAUGGGCGCAAGCCUGCUCCAGCCAUACCGCGUGGGUGAAGAAGGCCUUCGGGUUGUGAAGCCCUUUUGUUGGGAAAGAAAAGCAGCAGGUUAAUACCCCGCUGUUCUGACGGUACCCAAAGAAUAAGCACCGGCUAACUUCGUG
rnacentral:rRNA from 1 species